rnacentral:lncRNA from 1 species
AACGCAGCCUGAGAAAUGGAUAUGGUGCUAUGCUAUUUUCGCUAUUUCAUGCAUAUUCAGGAAGUGGGUUUUUUUUUUUAUUUUUAUGUUAACAAAGGAAACUGGAUGUUCUCCUAAAACAGCCACCUAGCCAAGCUGAACCAACAGAGAUGUAUUGAUCACCGGGUCAAUGGAACUAGGUGGGUGCUGGGGGGAAAGUCAGCAGGUAAGUCAGGUGAGGACUGCCUCCCUUCCACUCCCCACCCAGAGACUGAAGACAGACAGACAGACAGAGGCGUUCAUUCAGAAAGAAGUAGGAGGGCUUCAGGGAUUCAGCGGAGGAGACUGAAAGCCUGAGAGACGAUGCCUCUGAGAAGGUUACAGGCCUUGGGAGAAAGCGCUUUCACCUCCUCACCACAGACACUCUCGACUGUGGACUCAGGACACUAAGCCAGAAAGGUCUCACCAUGGGGCAGCAAUGUGGAUUUAGUAAGCAUAGCCCACGGGCACUCAUUUUGAAGACACUAGGAGAACUUCAAAGCCAGGUUUGUUCUUCUGCCUCUGGUGACAUUUUUAAAAUUUCAGCACUGUUUUUUUUUUUAAUUGAUUCUUUGUGAAUUUCAUAUCAUGCACCUCAGUCCUGCACAUCUCCUGUCCCCUCCCUCCCUCCAACCUCCACCCUUCCCCAACAAAGAAAAAUAAGUCCCCACUAUGGAAGCUGUAGUGUGCCAUCGUGUGUCCUUUUGUCCACACUUCUUUGCUUGCAAGUGCUCAUUGCAUUGACUUUGUUGGUCUGGUACGAGUCAGGCCUCUGGCUUCUGCUAUGCUAACGAUGCUAGAACCUUACUGAGACUCCUCUAGGGUAGACUGUUGUCACCCCGUGUGUCAUGGAGACCCUGUAGUUUUGGAUCUGCAGGACUGGCUUCUUCACGUACUCCAGCAGUUCAUUGAUGGGAUAGACGUGGGGUGGGCUAACUCAAAGCCCUGGAUCUGGGCCUGAGAGGUGUCUGAGCUGCUCAGCCCACCAGCUCUCCAGUUCUUGUGGCCUUUGGAUUGGCUCGCCAGCAACCCCCUCUCCCAGGGCUAGCUCUCCUGGUCGGUCCUUAUAUUUGCUUUAGGAACCUGACAAGACUGACUAGCCAUCUCUAGCAUUCAGAUAGGUGGAACUUCAUUGUGCUGAAGUUAUGUUUGAGCACCCUCUGCUGGACAAAUCAGGUGCUCUAUGACUACCAACAAUGUACCAGUGGUAUUCGUCUCUUGCAGAUCUGGAAGAAAAUGAAAUUUAGGAGAGGCAUCUUGCCUAUCUUCAGGAAGCCUACAGACUUCCAGGGAAGCAGGGGGGAAAUCAAGACGUGUCUGACUAUGAGCUGGGGUAAGGGAAGCCUCCGUGUGAAGAUGUGACCUAGUUAGGACAGCUGCCGGAAAGCAGGACUGGCAAGCUUGGUGGUUUGUACACCGGGCCUUGGGAGACUUGGGACACAAACACGAGGUCUUCUGAGGAUGUUUGUGAGUUGCUGGGUUACACAAAAAGAUUCUAGCUCAACAAGCAAAGAAGCGAAGGGGAGGGAAGGGGAGGAAAGGGAGGAGAAGAAAGGAAGUGGGAAGAGAAAAUGGGGCCAAGAAAAGCCCCAAACAUCCCAUAAGCACCCAGAACAGUGUCCCCACCGCGAACCAACCGGGAACCAAAGUGUUCACACCAGAUGAGCUCGUGGAAGGGCUUUUUGCCAAUUGUUCAUGGGUCCCCAGUGAUGAUGGAAUAUUGCGACUUACGUUUCAACCGUUUAAAAAUUUACUGUUAUUAUUUAUGCAUUUCAGUGUUUUGUCUGUUACACGCUCUGUAACUCCAGUUGCAGAAAAUGUAAAACUUUUCUGCCCCCUCCCCCUCCGGCAACCGGGCACAGACAUUUACGGGAGGCUGUGGCUACUUUAGGAGGUAGAGCCUAAAUGGAGAAACUGGGUUGUUGGGACAAUAGACAUUGAGGUUUACAGCCCAACCCCACUGCCUGCCCCUCUCUCCCUUUUCCACCAAGAUGUGAGCGAGCAGUCUCCUUCCUGCUGCUGCAGCUGCAAGCUGCUCCUGCCGCCCAUGCCUUCUCUACUGCCAUGCCUUCCCUACCACAAGGGCCAGAACUCUCACACUGAAAGCCAGAAUAAAUCCUUCCUCUCUUCGGUUGGUUGUUGUCAGGUAAUUGGUCCCAACCAUGGUAAAGCUUAGUGGAAAAGAAAAAAAAGGUAAAAAUCUAUUGUAGACUGAGUGCCCUGAAUCAGAAAACACACAGUCCAGCUGCUCUGAAAUCUAAGCAUCAUCGUGACACUACAAAGAGAAAACUCCAUAUCUGACCACACAUGAGAAUCUACUGAUGAAUACAACCAUGGGUUUACUAAAAAAAGGUGUAUAAAAUGAUCUUCAAGCUGCUCGUAUAAGAUAGGAGAAGGCAGCAGCUGGCAUCAAUGGUGUGGUGAGGAGAGAAUCAAGUUUCCUUCUCCAGUUCAAACAGACGAAAGUGAAGCGACAUAGGCUCAAGGACAGGGUCACUGGGCUAGCGCCACACCAUGGAGCCAAACCCCGAGCCUUCUAAAUUGUGAGCUGGGCAUGGUGGUUCACCCCAGGAAUCGCAGCACUGAGGGAUGAAGGCGAGAGAGUCACUGUGGGUGUGACAUCAGUCUGGCCUGAAGUCUGAGACUGUUUUUUUAAAAAGAAAACAUUUUUUUAUGUCAUAUAUUUAAUUAUAUAAAGAUUCUGUUGUUUUGUUGUUGUUGUUGUUAAAAUUCAGCCAGGAAAUUUCCAUCUGUCUGGUGUUAAUUGGUUGUUUU